UACGUAGGGGGCAAGCGUUGUCCGGAUUUAUUGGGCGUAAAGAGCUCGUAGGUGGUUCGGUAAGUCGGAUGUGAAAUCUCCAGGCUCAACCUGGAGGGGUCAUUCGAUACUGCCGUGACUAGAGGUCGGUAGGGGAGUGUGGAAUUCCUGGUGGAGCGGUGAAAUGCGCAGAUAUCAGGAGGAACACCCGUAGCGAAGGCGGCACUCUGGGCCGAAACUGACGCUGAGGAGCGAAAGCAUGGGUAGCAAACAGG
rnacentral:rRNA from 1 species